AGUCGAGCGGACAGAUGGGAGCUUGCUCCCUGAUGUUAGCGGCGGACGGGUGAGUAACACGUGGGUAACCUGCCUGUAAGACUGGGAUAACUCCGGGAAACCGGGGCUAAUACCGGAUGGUUGUUUGAACCGCAUGGUUCAAACAUAAAAGGUGGCUUCGGCUACCACUUACAGAUGGACCCGCGGCGCAUUAGCUAGUUGGUGAGGUAACGGCUCACCAAGGCGACGAUGCGUAGCCGACCUGAGAGGGUGAUCGGCCACACUGGGACUGAGACACGGCCCAGACUCCUACGGGAGGCAGCAGUAGGGAAUCUUCCGCAAUGGACGAAAGUCUGACGGAGCAACGCCGCGUGAGUGAUGAAGGUUUUCGGAUCGUAAAGCUCUGUUGUUAGGGAAGAACAAGUACCGUUCGAAUAGGGCGGUACCUUGACGGUACCUAACCAGAAAGCCACGGCUAACUACGUGCCAGCAGCCGCGGUAAUACGUAGGUGGCAAGCGUUGUCCGGAAUUAUUGGGCGUAAAGGGCUCGCAGGCGGUUUCUUAAGUCUGAUGUGAAAGCCCCCGGCUCAACCGGGGAGGGUCAUUGGAAA
rnacentral:rRNA from 1 species